GGAAACUGAGGAUAAUACCGGAUAGGCAAUUUUUCCUGUAAUGGUUUUUUGUUUAAAUGUUUUUUUCGCCUAAGGAUGGGUCUGCGGCCGAUUAGGUAGUUGGUUAGGUAAUGGCUUACCAAGCCGUUGAUCGGUACGGGUUGUGAGAGCAAGAGCCCGGAGAUGGAACCUGAGACAAGGCUCCAGGCCCUACGGGGUGCAGCAGGCGCGAAACCUCCGCAAUGUGAGAAAUCGCGACGGGGGGAUCCCAAGUGCCAUUCUUAACGGGAUGGCUUUUCAUUAGUGUAAAGAGCUUUUGGAAUAAGAGCUGGGCAAGACCGGUGCCAGCCGCCGCGGUAACACCGGCAGCUCUAGUGGUAACAAUUUUUAUUGGGCCUAAAGCGUCCGUAGCCGGUUUAAUAAGUCUCUGGUGAAAUCCUGUAGCUUAACUGUGGGAAUUGCUGGAGAUACUAUUAGACUUGAGACCGGGAGAGGUUAGAGGUACUCCCAGGGUAGAGGUGAAAUUCUGUAAUCCUGGGAGGACCGCCUGUUGCGAAGGCGUCUAACUGGAACGGUUCUGACGGUGAGGGACGAAAGUUAGGGGCGCGAACCGGAUUAGAUACCCGGGUAGUCCUAACUGUAAACGAUGCGGACUUGGUGUUGGGGUGGCUUUGAGCUGCUCCAGUGCCGAAGGGAAGCUGUUAAGUCCGCCGCCUGGGAAGUACGGUCGCAAGACUGAAACUUAA
rnacentral:rRNA from 1 species